UUGGGUUUAAAGGGUGCGUAGGCGGCCUGUUAAGUCAGCGGUGAAAUCUAGGAGCUUAACUCCUAAAUUGCCAUUGAUACUGGCGGGCUUGAGUGUAGAUGAGGUAGGCGGAAUGCGUGGUGUAGCGGUGGAAUGCAUAGAUAUCACGCAGAACUCCGAUUGCGAAGGCAGCUUACUAAGGUACAACUGACGCUGAAGCACGAAAGCGUGGGUAUCAAACAGGAUUAGAUACCCUGGUAGUCCACGCAGUAAACGAUGAUAACUGGGCGUAUGCGAUAUACAGUAUGCUCCUAAGCGAAAGCGUUAAGUUAUCCACCUGGGGAGUACGCCGGCAACGGUGAAACUCAAAGGAAUUGACGGGGGCCCGCACAAGCGGUGGAGCAUGUGGUUUAAUUCGAUGCAACGCGAAGAACCUUACCUACUCUUGACAUCCAGAGAACUUUCCAGAGAUGGAUUGGUGCCUUCGGGAACUCUGAGACAGGUGCUGCAUGGCUGUCGUCAGCUCGUGUCGUGA
rnacentral:rRNA from 1 species